GUGCCAGCAGCCGCGGUAAUACGUAGGGGGCAAGCGUUGUCCGGAAUUAUUGGGCGUAAAGCGCGCGCAGGUGGUGGAUUAAGUUGUGGGUAAAAGGCAAUGGCUCAACCAUUGUAAGCCUGCAAAACUGGUUCACUUGAGUGCAGGAGAGGGGAGUGGAAUUCCCGGUGUAGCGGUGGAAUGCGUAGAGAUCGGGAGGAACACCAGUGGCGAAGGCGACUCUCUGGCCUGUAACUGACACUGAGGCGCGAAAGCGUGGGGAGCGAACAGGAUUAGAAACCCCUGUAGUCC
rnacentral:rRNA from 1 species